UACGAAGGGGGCUAGCGUUGUUCGGAAUUACUGGGCGUAAAGCGUGCGCAGGCGGCUUCUCAAGUCAGGGGUGAAAGCCCAGAGCUCAACUCUGGAAUUGCCUUUGAGACUGAGUGGCUUGAGUACGAGAGAGGUGAGUGGAAUUCCCAGUGUAGAGGUGAAAUUCGUAGAUAUUGGGAAGAACCCCGGUGGCGAAGGCGGCUCACUGGCUCGUAACUGACGCUCAUGCACGACAGCGUGGGGAUCAAACAGG
rnacentral:rRNA from 1 species